UACCUUUUAACUUGUUCAACAAAUUCAGGGUUAUUGCUUUUUCAAGUGAUUGCAUGAUCUAAGUUUACUGGUGUAGUUGCAGGACCAUCAACAGCUCUGGUAACAACAGGAUCAGUACUGGGAUCAUUUUUCCUUAUCCUGCUUACCGGUGUGAUUUACUACAUCUAUGAUACUUGCAUAAUACAAAAA